rnacentral:lncRNA from 1 species
AUCAAUUGGCAAUUUGCAAUCUUCCAAUUCUCUUUUGUGUGCGACCCAUUAGGUUCCCGAUCACGAUGCCUAAUGACGUGAAAUAUUAUUUUGAUCUACUCAAAACUGAUAAAUUAAACACCCUUUUAAUUUAUCACAAAUUCACACUUGCCGUCCCAAAUUGACAUCUAACAAUGUAUCAGGGCAACACAUGUGACGGAAAAUGUCACGUGGUAUAACAAAAUCAAAAUUGUUCGUUUAUCAUGAAAUUACAAUCCUUUCGUCAAUAUGAUCCGAUCAACUACGAGAUAUGAAAGUGUGUCAAUCUCGAUUAUCGAUCAUAUCUUUCAUUCUACUAUUAAGUCAAUAUGAGUCGAAAACUCCUUUUCGACUUAUAUGUAUACCUUGGUCAAAGAUUUCGUUAUUGACUUAAUUGAACGAAAUGCAGAUCACAAUCUCUUACUAUCUAAGAGUGACGAAUCCUCUAUUGGUCAUUCACAAUCUUAAUAUGGUUCUUGAUAUACCCGAACGAUGUCGUAUUAACGGCCUUGGCAGAGUAACAUCCAACACCGUCAAAGCAUGACUGUCCUCAUAUAAGGCACUAUGAUGACCUCAAGUUAUAGGACCAAUUCCACUACCGAACGUUAGAGAUUAACCACUGACACUCAAAUAGUAAUCCAUGUGGAAUCUCUUAGCGGGUCUCCAAUGUUUUGUUCUAUAACAAAACAUCCACAUGUUCAUUUAAGUGUCACCACACUUUAACUCGUGAGAUCAGCUACUUACUUCACAAGUAAGAAAUGCCACACGUGAUGGUCUAACUGUAUUAACAAUAUCCGUAUCUCGUUAUUACUUACGAUCACGGUUUAUUCAAGAUCCAAUCAUACGUAAUUUGUAUCUCACAAUCACAACUCCUUGUAAUUAACAAAUCACUUAAACUUGGAUCUUCGGAUUCUAUUAUUAAAUAUUAUUUAUCACAAAAUUAAUUUAAAUAAAUAAUAGAUCUUGCCAAAAUUAAAUGCAUUAAAC